AAUCCAUCGUGUGGACAUUCCCAGACCAAUCUCUUAAACCUCGUCCAAGCAUCACUGAGCGAUUCGUCCAUGUCUUGUUAAAAAUUAGUUAUGAGUUUUCUUUGUCU